CUAGCGACUUCAGAGUUUGAUCCUGGCUCAGGAUGAACGCUGCGGCGUGCCUAACACAUGCAAGUCGAGCGAGAAUUCUUUACUUGAUUCUUCGGAUGAUUUUAAAGAAGGAAAGCGGCGGACGGGUGAGUAACGCGUAGGCAACCUGCCCUUUGCAGAGGGAUAGCCUCGGGAAACCGGGAUUAAAACCUCAUAAUGCGACUGAAAGACAUCUUCCGGUCGCCAAAGAUUUAUCGGCAAAGGAUGGGCCUGCGUCUGAUUAGCUAGUUGGUGGGGUAACGGCUCACCAAGGCAACGAUCAGUAGCCGACCUGAGAGGGUGAUCGGCCACAUUGGAACUGAGACACGGUCCAA
rnacentral:rRNA from 1 species